CCUACGGGAGGCAGCAGUGGGGAAUAUUGCGCAAUGGGCGAAAGCCUGACGCAGCGACGCCGCGUGAGGGAUGAAGGUCUUCGGAUCGUAAACCUCUGUCAGCAGGGAAGAACGGUCACUGUGCUAAUCAGCAGUGAAUUGACGGUACCUGCAAAGGAAGCACCGGCUAACUCCGUGCCAGCAGCCGCGGUAAUACGGAGGGUGCGAGCUUUAAUCGGAAUUACUGGGCGUAAAGCGCUCGUAGGCGGUCUUUCAAGUCAAGGGUGAAAUCCCCGCGCGCAACGUGGGAACUGCCUUUGAAACUGGCAAACUGGAGUGUGUGAGAGGAUAGUGGAAGUCCAGGUGUAGGAGUGAAAGCCGUAGAUAUCUGGAGGAACAUCAGUGGCGAAGGCGACUAUCUGGCACAUAACUGACGCUGAGGAGCGAAAGCGUGGGUAGCAAACAGGAUUAGAUACCCUAGUAGUC
rnacentral:rRNA from 1 species